rnacentral:tRNA from 1 species
GCCAACAUGGUGUAGUGGUUUGAAUGUUGGACUACCACUCUGGAGACCUGGGUUUGAUACCCCACUCUGCCA